UAGGUGUUCUGUGCUGCUAGCUUUAGCCCUCGCGCCAGCGUGUUGUAGCGGUUCCUCGUCGUCGGCAUUGGGCAUUCAUGCGGUGAAGAUUCCCAGGCCGGACGUUCCACGCUGAAAACAAGCAGACGUCAAACGGUUGAGGCCGGAGUUUCAGCAAGACUUACCAAGCGAUCCCCCAGAGGUGGCAGUUUGCCAAGCGAUCCCCCAGAGGUGGCAGUUUGGUACUGUACGAAGUCUCGACCUAUGCGCAUUUAUUUCCAGUCACUUUGAAGGUUAGUGAUGUAACACUUGCGUUGUUCCGUGGGCUCAUGGAUUAUUACGUAAUUUUUGUUUCAUUGCGAGGUUUUCCAGCUGGCAUUGUACACGGAAGAUUCGCGUUAUGGUUACGGCUUUGCAUUUAUCUUGUUCAAAUAAAAAAAAAUGCUGUUUGCUAAAAGCGGCAUGACAUGGUCGCCGCGGGAA